rnacentral:lncRNA from 1 species
GGACUCAGGGGCCUGACAGACAGGAAUGCCCCAUAUGCCCGCCUCUCCCCCUUCACUGGUGUUGGCUCCUCCCCACCCUAGGCCCAGCUCCUGUGAGCAGGCCCGCCCCUGCACAGACCCCACCCCCCAGCCUAGCUCCUGCCCGAGGAUCCGCCCUUCCAGCCGGCCCUGAGACAGGGAGCCUAUGACCCAGGUCUGUAGAUUGUGUGUAGGCACCGCCCCACAAGGAGACCCCGCCUCCGGCGCGACCGACAGCACCGCCUUCUAGGGUCCCACCUCCUGUGGGGCGGGACUUGUCCCAGCCGGAGUCGGCGGCGGCGGCUGCGGGAACUUUCCCGGCGGGUCUAAUGGCUGCGCGCGGGCCGCUGUGAGGCGCGGCGGCGAGCGGGCGCGGGGCCGCGGAGCAACGAAGAGCCAGCGACCGCAAGGCUGGAGUCCCGGCCAGGCCCGGUCCGACCCGCCAAGCCCGCGAUGCGCCCCAGUGCUGUCCCUCGGCGCAGCUGACGCCCCGCGGCCCCGCGAGACCCCAGCCCUACCGGCCCCGCAGGAAGCGGCCG